AGUAGCAAGCAGUUGAAGAGUACACUUUACCAGUAAUCUCUAUGUAUGAUUAUUUCUGUUUUCUUUCCUGUGUCUAGCUCACCAUUAAUUCAAUAGAAUGAGGGUGUAUAAACCUCCAAGAUUUGCACUUCUUCAGACACAAAAAUCUACCUCCUAAAGGCUGUUGUGGUUGUUGUUAGCAAAGUCCUCUUGCUGCAGAGAUGAGAGUCAGGUGAGUAGAUGUGAGUUAUGAUUAAGGCACCUGUUUAGCCUUGGGCUUGAUUGAAUAGGGAAGAGAAGAUAAAUACCCUGUGAGACUAAUGCUGAGUCAUCCAUGAGGUUUCUGCAGCCUUUUGUGGAUGCAUAUGCAUAAUUUUGGAACCAGGCCCAGGUAAGUAAGUAAUAAGAUACUUGUAAAAAAAUUCAGUGAAGGGCGAAUUAUGUUCAUUAUUAUGUAGAUCAUAAGAAUGACCACACUAGGGGAGGCUAGAUUUUUUAACCAGCAGUAGGUAAAAAUUAAUGCCCAAAAAUGCUGUAAAAGCAACAAAUAUUGUAAUAUGUUCUCUAAAUGCUCUCCCAACCUCCAACACUUUCGAAGCUCAGGAGUCUUCUGAGUCAGAGUUUGCUUCACUGCAUUUAGUAACUUGCAAUGGAUUUGUUUUCUGUUUGUUUUGUCACUUGAAAAUAUGUAAAUUCAUAGCAUGCACCCCAUCCAUGUUUGUAAGGAAUGAAGUACUGCUUUGCUGAGUUUGAGAUCUUGUUACUGGUAUGUUUGGAGCUUUUGAAGUUCCUGACUUACACUGUUUUGGCUUGUGUUCUUUCCAAAAUGGAAGAAAAUGGGAGAAAAUUUGAGCCAUCUUUCAACACUGCACUGUCUAGAUUUCUAGAUAACGUCUGGGACACAAGAGAAUGUAGUGUGAAGAACUCUGCAUAGCAUUGCCUCAAGCUGUCAACAGCAGGAGAGAGGGAUUUGGCACUGAUCCCACAUGCUAUAGCUGGAGGGCUGAAUGUUCAAAACCUAUUAAGGAGUAAUUCUGCAUACAGUUUGUAUUGCCAAUAACUGCAUUUAGCGCAGUACAAAUGAGUAAUCAAUUACUUUCACAUCUGAAGAACUCUCACUUAGAUAUUUAUAUUCAAAUACAACAAAGCAGAGGUUGGCUGUGACAGUCAGGUUCAGGGCUGGCAGGAGCAGGACCAGCCACCACACCUUCUCUUCUUCAUUGCAAAUAAAAUGAAAGCCUUCACAAUGUUUUUCACAAAAAUUUUUGAUGUAGGUUUCCUGGGUUAUAAGAGAGUCUAAUAGAAAUAAGAGAGUCUAAGUAGAAAUCUGGACCACAGAGUGUUAAAGAAGAAUUGCUGAUACACUGUUUAAUGUCCUAGGCUGUAAAAUAAGAGUAAUAAUAAAACAUGUUAGAGACAGAUGAGAGAAAAAUGUUGGGAAUCUUAUUGAAUUGGUAGAACAUUAAAAUCUCAUAGAAUUUUAUAAAACAUUGUUUACACAGGUAUUGUUUCCACUGUUAAUGGCAAAAACUUAAUUUCAAGGUAGCAUUUUGUAAGAUUUAUCAAAAUGAAUAUGGGAAACAAUAGACAACAGCAUGAAGCACAGAUGAAACAAGAGCUUCUUUUGUUGGAGCCUCUGAAGAGUGUGUAAUCAGAGCUCAAGUCUAUGACACUUGAAAAGAAAAACUGUCAGUUCUGAACCACAAGAUUAACAUCCCUGCCUGUACUUAAAAGAUGAAUACCUCUUUUCAGUUAUCUUUCCUGCAGUUGAACUGUCAAGAACAGACAUCUUGAAAGCAUGUUUUUUGAGUGUCUUAAAAGGGCUGUCCUUGGGAUGGAAAGAGACAGAAGUCUGCAGCCUAGAUAAAGGAAUGUGGUACCUUGCAUCUUCUAGGUCACCCUGAGAUUAUGGCUCAAACACAAGACGUACUAAGAAACACCCUAAAUUUCAUUUAAUAUGCUUGAUCAAUUUAAUUCUUGAUAAUUUGAUUUUGUAGCUUGCAAGAGGUCUCACAAUUAGAUUGAAUUAAAAGCAUGACUUUUUGGAGAAUACACUGAUGGCAGGUUUAAAAACCAAAGUAUGAGAAAUUUUGUGGCUGAUGUAGGCCUACUUUUCUGUCCCAUUUAAUCUGUGUUGCAACUUGAAGUUUGUAGUCUGCAGGUAUGUCUGAGUACUGUUGCUAGGUAACAACAUGCAUCUUAGAAGGUGAAAGUGUAUUUCUGGACUGAUUGUAGCCUUUCGAUAUCCCUCCUCUUAUCAGGCGUUAGAGAGAACACAGAGCCAGUCUCUUCUCAGAGGUGUAUGGUGAAAAGACAAGGAGAUAUGAACAAAACAUGUGAGAAGGGCAGUUCCAAUUGUACAUGAGCAACAAAUACAUGGUGAGGAUGGUCCAGCAGUCAGAACAGGUUGUUCAGCAGCUGUAAAACCUGUACCCUUGAGUUUUUUUGCAAUCCAGCCUGAAAAGACCAUGAUCAAUCUAAUCUAGCUGUAAAGUUCGCCUUGCUUUGAGUGGGACACUGGACUUGAUCUCCCGUGAUCAUCCCCGACUAAAUUUUUCUGUUAUUGCAAAUGGCAUUUAGGAUCAGCCAUCCACAAAUCACCAACAUCAUCAGAAGCCUAUGAAAAUAUAGAUUUGCUCACUGUGAAAAGUCCCAAGAAGUUUUCGUUCCAGGCAAGGUCAGCAUAUUCUGGUUUUAAUGAAUAAGCAUUGAAUAAAAGAGAAGUUUU